rnacentral:tRNA from 1 species
UCAAUUAGACCUUUGUGACCCUACUGCACCUAUCUGGAUAAUCCAGCAUAUCUGUGAUGGUCAAGAGCAUUAAUUUCAUCACUUGUGCAAAAGCCCUUUUGUAUUUAUGGUAAAAAGUCAAGCGUUCCUGGGAAUAGUAAGUACAAAUCUUUGGUAGUCCACUAUUUACCUGCCAUAUUAUAUAAGUCCGUAGGUUUAAAACUCUCUUUUUAAAAAAUAUUUCUUUUAUUCCUUGUAGUUGAACACAAUACCUUUAUUUCAUUCAUUUAUUUUUAUGUGGUGCUAAGGAUGGAACUCAGGGUCUCACACAUGCUAGGUGAGCGCUCUACUGCUGAGCCACAACCCCAGCCUCUGUCUUCUUAUUUUUUGAUAAAUCCAGAGCACAUGGAAAAGUAUAUCUAAAUGUAUAUCUUUUCUUUCUUUCUUUUUUUUAAUGAUUGGACAUUUUUAAACCAAAAUGAAAAUUUCACAAAAUCAUAAAGAGAAAUAUUUUUACAGAAGUAAGUUGCAUAAAAGUAAAGCUAAUAAACCAGGAUUUACUUUCCUUUGCCCCAGAAUGACUUUGUGUGAGAUAAAAUGUCCUACAAAAAUUAACAAAAAUUACAGAGUGGGAAAAAUGUUCAUGGUCCAUACAAUGUAUAAAGGAUAUUUUCAGAAUACAUAAAAGAGUGCUGGAAAUAAUCAGAGGUGCUGAUGCUUUGUCUAAGUAAUGGCCAGGGAGAUAAACAUUAAAACAAAAAUAUAGAUCCAAAUAUCCUAUAAUGUGUCAGUGGAAAGGCUGGGGUAUUAUUUGCUCAUGCAUUCUCUAGUGGAAUCCAAAUAUGUAUAACAUUUGGAAAUUAAAUGACAUCUGUAGGAGGUUAGAAAUAUUUCUACAACUAAAUAUUCUAGAGACAUAAUCACAAAUGCAUACAAAGAACCAUGUAUGAACAUGUUUUGAAUCAUGAUAUAAAAUAGGCAAUACUUGAUAGGGAAUGUAACUACACAUUAAAGAGAUGCUUAUGUUAGUUGGAGAACAACCAUAUGAGUCUUCAAAAAUGAAAAGAAUGAUGAUAUGAAACUUUGUAUAUAAGAUCCCCCUUACUACUUAUCUCUUCCUACACAGCUCCACUUGCCAUAGGUCACCAUGAUGCUCUCUUUAGAUCUUUGGACUCUGGGCAGCUCAUCUGUCAGGAAAAAUGUAGAAAAGUGCCACAGUCCGGCUGGCUGCAGCAAAAUAACUGGGGGGUGACGAAUAACUUGUGUAGAUUGAUACAGCAGGAGUGGGAGCCCUUUAUUGCAGGACAGGAGCAGUAUUUAUACAUUCCACACAGCUUAUCUAAUUAGCAUAAACUAGAUACAUCAGUCAACCAAUAAGGAAUCUCCACACUUAAUGGCUUGUUUUUGUUACUUCUCAAACCACUCCCUCUGGCAUUUUGCCAGGCACCAUCCAGACUUGUUUAUGAACUCUAACAUUCCCCUGGCAAAAUGCCAGGUGUUAUUUUGACUUGUUUACAGACUCUAACAGAAAAGUAGGCUCUAGUAUAAGAAAUCCAGAAGGUGAUUGGUAAAGAUGUAAGACUUGGGUAAACUCAUAACAAAAGCACUGAUUAAAUCUACCAAUGGAAGUGUUUAUUCAAGGAAAUAUUGCCAAUGAUCAGUUUAGCAUAUUUCUCAACUAACAUAUUCUUCCAACAAUUAUGGUAGCUAUUCUAAAACUUGUUCUCAAGUAUUUUCUAUAAAUUGUUGGACUUACAGAAUAGAGAGAGCAAAGUAUUGGAAGAAUCUUGAGACCCAAAUAAGUUUUGAGGAUUCAAGACAACCUUGAGGUGCAACCCACCCCAGACCUCAAUGAGCAAUACAAUGUUACAUUUCCCAUGGAGUAGGAACACCAAGAGAAGGGGAGCCGGUCAGUGCUCUAUCCUGCCUCUUGUUCCAUGUGUGUAUGACAGUUAUGUAAUUUAAUUUGCUAACAUUCUGAAGGAUGUUUAUUAAGUGUAGCUUUAGAGACAGAAGACUUCAUGCGCUGCUCUCACUUUCUUUUAUAAGCCAUGAAAUGCUUUUUUCCAUGGAUCAACGUUUUUUUCCAUUCUUGACAGCUUUAUUUCCUCAGCAGGUUUUCAUCCAAGUUCCCUGAAAGUCUGAAUUCAGAAUAUUUUUGAAAUAGUAUUCAGCUUUUAUAAAGGAAAAAGAAAAAAAAAAAAAACACUUUCUCACUGAGCCAAGUUUCAAAUCUUUUAUCUGCUCCAUCUGUCUCCUACCCUCAUCCUGAGAUAACUUUUCAUGUUACUCUCCGUCUUCCCAGGCUUGAUGGCAACACAUUUGAUAAUAUUGUUCUUUUUUCUUGAGAACUUACCAGUGGAUCUAUCUCUAUUUUCAUAGCAUUUGUUGUAGAAUUCCAGAUACUUCCAUCAUCUCUGGCCAGGCUUGCAUUCUGAGUCUCAUUUUUUUCCCCAUUCUCUAUUAAUAACACUCCAUCUCCCUCCCCCUCUCCCCCUCGCUCUAGUUCUCCACCACUCCCACCUUCAACAGAGAUAUGACUUGUGUAAUAAUUAUUUGCAUGUGAAGAACACUCUUUUAUUUAGUCUGACUUACUUCAACACACUUGGCUGGUCUUCUUAUGUUUCUGUUGAUUUGUUGGCUGUUUAUUUCUUUUUUUCUUUUCAUAGUGAUCUUUCUCUUCAUAUUCUACAUUAUUCUUUUAUCUUCUCAUCGUUUUCUAGUUUGUAUUUCUUACCAAUGAAAACUGAGAGCCAUAAUAAGAUAGAUUAAUCUUUAGGAAAAUAAUUUGUUUUCUUAAUAUAAUCAUGAAAAAUCUGUAGGCUUUUUAAUAUUUCAUACUUGCAAAAACUUUCACUUUACCCUGUCAUUAAUAACACCUGUGGUAUGACUAAAGAUAAUUCCCUAUUUAAUUUAGGUAAGUAUUGGCAUAAUUAAUACCCUUAUUCCAAUAUAUUUAAUAGUUUUUGAAUCUUUGUUUAAUAAAAUUAGUGUGUGGUUUAGAAAAUAUUAGAGAAUAAAUAAUUUUAUUAUAAUUUCUUUGUGAAUAUAAUUCAAAUAAUUUAAUAUUUGUUAACACCGUAUUUACUUUCCUCAUUAGUGAAGUGAAAAUGUCCUUACAUUGUACAAUACCUUUAGGGUGGAAGAGCUCUGGCACAAUGCUAGAAGAUUCAUAGAUUCAGUAGAGGGCGCUAUAUAGCAUGCUCUUGCAGCCUCAGUUUUUAUUUUUUAAUUUAAUUUGUAAAAACUCAAUGAAUCAAAGAGAGGCUAGUCCCCUUCUUACAGGACCCUCAUAGAGCAAGUAUUUCAAUCUGAGAGCCUGGAGAGUUUCUUUUAUACUUUGUUUUGCUACAGCUCAAUUGUUCAAUUUCUUCCUAGGGAAGCGGUGUGUUCACAGGGAAGGUCAAGACUCUCUGACUUUUGCAUAUUCCAAUUUGCCCAUUAUUAUUUUUGAGCCAUUCUUCUCUAUAUCUUUGUUCUUGGAAGGAAGCUCUAGUGUAUAAUCUGUCAAGAAAGAACUGCAUUUCCUUCUGUGCUUCAUCCUCCUUUUGCUGUCAUUAAGUGUGCACUUGACUGUCACCUUUGCUCCAAAGACUUACAACAUUACCUACUGUCCUUCCAACUACCAUAAAGGGUAUCAGUUCCUUUAAAAAAAAAAAAUAUAUAUAUAUAUAUAUAUAUAUAUAUAUGUAUAUAUAUAUAUAUAUAUAUAUAUAUAUUUGGUGUACAAAUUUUAAAACAAUGUUAUUGAGAACUAAUUUUCUUUUCUUUGUAAAAUAAAAUUCACUCAUUUUUAGUAUGCAGAUUAAAGCACUCUGACAAAAGUAUACAAUGGGAUAGCCCUUACCACAAGCAUGGUAUUGAAUGAUUUGGCCUUUUCCCUAAAUUCCUGUGUGGUUCCAUGCUGGAUGUUCGUCCAUAACAUGAGCUAACAGAUCAUGUGUUCUCUCUGGAUAGUUUUGAUUGCUCAGUGUUUUUAGCAAUUAAUCUAUGUCCUCCAAAUAUAAAUCCUUUCCUCUUUUUCAUUGUUUAGUAUUAUUUCACUGUAUGCAUAUGUCAAACUGUGCUUAUCCAUUCUGUAUUUGAUGGGUAUAUAGAUGGUUGCCAGUUCUGAAUUAUAAUGAAUAAAAUUCUUAGGCAAACAAGGCAAAUAAGGCUUCACAUGGAUGUAUGGUUUGAUAUUUCAUUGUAAGUAGAAUUGCUGGUUCAUGUAGUGGUAAUUCUAUUAAGAAUUAGCCAAAUCAUUUUCCAUGGUGGUUGUCAAAAGUCAUAUUCUCCCCAGUAAAAUAUGAAAGUUCUAGUUCCACAUUCCAUUAAACUUGUUUUAGCCAAUUUUUAUAAUCUAUGGUUUUUCUAGAAAGCACUAUCUCAUGGUGGUUUUAAUUGUCAUUUUCUUAAUGAUUAUGAGAAACUGAUGUGACUCCAUUUUUGAGAAACCAGCUUCUACCUCAAGGCCUGUCCUAAGGAAGGGGGUGUGACCUUUGUCCUGGGAAAAACCCACAGAGCACUCCUAAGUACCCACCCUGCUGAGUUGUUUGUCUAUAAAUAACAGGAGAGAUCUGCAGCGCCAGGUGUCCCUGACUCAGUCAGGCUAGGUGAGGACCCAUAGCAACCUCCUAGCAACCUCCAAUCAACAUGAGACAGGGAAAAUACCUGGGAUGCCAGAUGACCCCCAGUAGUUUAUGGUGGUUGAUAACAUGUUGGGAAACCAUGUAGUUUAGCACAUAUACCCCUUGUGGCUUAAACCAAUCAGUUCAAAGGAAUCUCCCACUUGUACUAACCAAUCACUCCUACCCAACUUGUUCCUGCUAGUGAAUGUGCUAAUCAAUGUUAAGAGUUGUUGUUUGACUUUCCGUGAUGUGAAAUUAUUUGCUGUGUGAUGUUGUGACACAUAGAGUAUCCCCCGACAACCUAUAAAAUCUCACUGAACAAAGGACAGACUCACUCCCUGGGACUGCUGCUUUGGAAACGGUUGUGAGUCCAGGCUCGAGCUUGCAAUAAAGAAUCUAGUGUGAUUGCAUUGGAUUCGUCUCCUGGAGGUAUAUUGGGUCCCACGAAUCUGGCAUUAAAUUGACAGUGUUAAACAUAUUUCACGUGCUUAUUCAGUUUUUAUUAUAUGAGUGUGUGCUCAUCAUUUUUUUUUUGUACCUGGGAUUGAACCCAGGGGUAACUUAACCAUUGGGCAACAUUCUUCAGCCAGUUUUUAUUUUAUUUUAUUUUAUUUUUAAUUUUGAGACAGGUUCUCCUUAUAAUGCUUAAGGUCAUGCUAAAUUGCUAAUGAUGGCUUUGAACUUGUGAUCCUCCAGCCUCAGCCUUCGGAGCCACUGGGAUUACAGGGGUGUGCCACCUGCCCAGCACCCCUCAACUGUUCUUGAACUAUGUGUUAAUUAUUUGUUUGUAGGAGCUAUUUUUUUUUCAUAUAAUAAAACACCAGUUCUCAACUAUAAUUUUCAUUAACUAAUAAAAUAAAGAAUGUAGAACAAACUUAUCAACAGAAAAAGAUGUUUCAUCUUUCAUUUUCUUAACUAAUCUAGCAUAAAUAGAGAUUUUAUCAUUUCAAUCUACUACCUCAACUAGAUUUCUGAAAUGAUCUAAUAUUUUAAAUAGAGGAUGAGCCAAGGUUAACACAAACCUUGUUUAAAACAUUGGUGAUACACUUACUGACACUGUUUAGCAAUUUGUUCGAUUUCUCUGGAAAUUAUUUGCCUCAUUAAAAAAAAAAAAGUAUAUCCAAACUUAGAGGCCAUUAUAAAGAAUAAAAGUGAUUGGGUCUCUCUGUGUAGGGCAUUUAGAGAGAGAUUCAGUCUUUUUCAGAAUAAAAACUUAGGCUUGAACACAGUGGUGCAUUCCUGUAAUCCCAAAAGCUUGGGAGACUGAGGAAGGAGGAUCACAAUUUCAAAACCAGCCUUAAAAUUUUUGCAAUGCACUGUCUCAAAAUUAAAAAAUAAAAAUAAAAGAAAAGAAAGGGGAUUUGGUUCAGUGGCUAAGCGCUGCUAGGGUCAAUUCCUGAUCCUAAAAGUAAAUAAAUAAAUUGAUAGAUAAAAGUGCUUGGUAAUUUCAGUUCCAUUUUUAUCGCUGGCCAUUGAAUUUCUAAAGUAAAUAUUAUGCAAUUUAAGUUUAAAAAUCCAGUUUGAAUCAUAAAUAGAAUGAAGAAAUACAUAAAAUGUGAUUAAUUAAUUAAUUUCUUUUUUUUGUAAUUUUGGCAAGAAGUAGUUAAAUCGUUUAGCCUUUACAGUCAGUGGCACUAGAUGAUAAUUUUGUAAGAUAGUGGCAGUAUGAAAAAAAUCAAAUAAGAUUUAAAUUGCAUUUGAUAAGGAAACUAUAUUCUUUUAAGUUUCAACUUUUCUUAGUGCAGGAAGCAAAUUAAUUCUGUAGAAGUAAGUCUAUAAUUAUACUACCAUAGAACUUAUAAACACAACAUGUCAUAGUUUUUCUUGAAAUGCAUUUAUGUAUGUUUACCCACACUCUUCGAAUUAUAUAGUUGGUUAUAUGAGUAGUCUGCAAUCUUAAAAAGUGUUGGCUUAACAAUAACUCAAAUUCUACAUUCACAAUUCAUGGAGGAAAAAAAAAAACAAGAUUAUCAGGUUUGAAUUUAAACUUUGUUUGGGCAAAGCUAAAUGAAACUUGCCUUUACUUCCAUCACUAAGAAGUUUCUGUUCCUUUAUAACAUAUAUUUUUAAAAUGCUUUUGCCUUUACUUCCAUCACUAAGAAGUUUCUGUUCCUUUAUAACAUAUAUUUUUAAAAUGCUUAGAAAUAAUCAAGUUUCUGCAGAUCUAGCAAUUCUCAAAACGUGAUAGACCUUUGAAAUUAAUAUAUGUAGCGCUGAAGUGUUUAAAAUUAAAUAGAGGAAAUUAUGUUUGUGCUUAAUGAUUUCAAAAAGUGUCCUUAGAUAUGUCAUCAUCAAUACAAUCUAUAAAAGAAAAAAAAAAUGAAUAUAUUGUACUUCACCAAAAUAAUCUGUUUCUUUAUACCUGACCCUAAUGAAUCAGACAACAAGCCAAAGGCUGGAACACAAAGCUUCAUACCACAUAUAGAACCAAGCACUUGUAUUCAAAAUCCAAGAAGAACUCUAAAUUCAAUGGUGAGAAACAAAUCCAAAUGAGAAGCUGGGCAAGAGACUUGGGGUGUCAGUUCCCAAAAAAGAAUAAGUUGAUGGAAAAUAUGCACAGGAGUUCUUCAAUGUUAUUAACCAUUAAGAAACACAAAUUAAAGGUGCAGUGACAAACUAUAAAACAUUAAAAUGGCUAAAGUAAAACAUAUUGACCACCCUAAAAUCUGGUGGGGUUGUAGAAAGGCUAGAAAUUAUACUACUUCAGCUUGCAAAACACUACUUGUCUAAUGAAAUUAACUCUAGGCUUACUGAAAGACUUAGUCAAUGUUCUCUUUAGCAUUUAUUCUGCAUAAAUAUUUUCAUACAAAGACCUGUACAUAAACAUCUAUAGCCAUUUUAUUUGUAAUAGAUGCUCACUGGAAGAAACUUAGGCCCUUCAAUAGAUGAAGGAGUAAACAAACUAUGCUCUAUUUAUACCAUGGAAUACUACCUUACAAUAAUAAAGAAUGAUCUAUUGACACAAACUUUAAUAUUUCUUCAGUUCCAACUUGGAUGGAACUCAGAGGCAUUACACUGAAUGAAAUAUAUCAAUCUUACUCAUAUGAAACUCUUGAAGUGACAGCAUUGUAAUAAUGAAGAGGAGACUAUUGCUUGCUUGCUAGGUUAGGCCUGGAAAGGAAUUACUAUUAAGGGGUUAUAUGAAGGUGCUUGUCAGUAGUGGUCCAAGAAUUCUGCAUUCAAAUUGUGGUGUUGGCUACUCAAAUAUACAUGUUUGAUGAAUGUUCAUAGAACUAAACAUCUGAACAGUGAAUGCAAAAACUGGGUGAAAUCUGAACAAGAUCUGUUACUGAGUUUGUACUUGUUAAUAAUCAAUGUCCUGGUGUGACAAUGUACUAUACCUAUAUAAUUAGAUUUUAUCAAUGAGAGAGGAAAAUGAAGAGUAUAUGAAAAGUGUAAAUUACUUUUUACCUAUUUGGGACUUUUAAAAUAAUAUAAAAUUUUAGAAUAUAAAUUUUAAAAAGUUGCAUCCAUAAAAGAACAGUUUUGGUAAAUAAUAAUAGUAGGAAUUUUUGCAUUGGUAUUGAGUGAGGUUCCCUCAUCUUUGCAUCUCAUUUGCUCUCCUAGGGCUGCCAAUGGUGGCAAGAUCCACUGUGCAAAGUCAGGAAAUGGAGACAACAUUCCAACAUGUAACCUGUGUGUGUAGAAAGGAGACACAAGGCAAGUUGUUGGUCUAACCAUCCUCAAAAGGGGAAAGGGUUGAGCAGGGAGGAGCAUCAUUUGAGAAGUAGAGUUUCUACAGAAAUCUUGCAGCUUGAACUAGCAAGUAAAGUCUUACUCCGGACCCUGAAGUGAACAUGUCUUGCUGGAAUAUCCGGACAAAUGCUCAAUAUUAAAUAAGAAUGGCAGUGGUAUCCCAUUUUUUCAACCUGUAUCUUAUCUGCUACAUCUGAUGAUUCAUAGCCUUAAGAUUUACUGACACUUGACUUCUACUUUCCCUCUAGUGCGAAUAUCACAACCUAAGAGCUAGAGUCACAAACUCUAAGAAGGGAGAAGUCACUGGCCCAGCCACAUAGUUUGUGAGCACUGGUUCAUAUUAUGCCAUAGUCUAUGGCAUGUAAACACAUCUCGAUCUUUUAAGUUUACCUAUUCAUGAUUCUGCAGAAUCAUAGCAAAAUUUAAAUAAGCCAAGGAACACAAUAUACAAUUUUCAGCUUUCUAAACUCAGGUUUUCAUAAGACUACCCUUUUCUGAAUUACAUUAUCAUUUUCCAUUGUACACAUUACUUUUAUUCCAUUGAUCUAGCAAUAGAAAAAAUGAACUAUUAUUUCUGGAACCACUCACCAACACUAAUCAAAUAACAGGCAUGCUCCUCUGAAAUGUAAUAUUAUUUUCUUUUGGUGUUAUAUAGUAAAAGGCAAUGAUAAUAGAAACAGGACCAGCCUACUAUUUUUUAAAACUUAGAGUUAUACUCUAAAUUGUCUAAGCCUGAAAUAUCACAUCAAAACUUAGUUGAAUUAAUCUAUUGUACUGAAACAAAAGCAUUUGCUUCAGAAUUAGAGGGUGGCAAGAUCUCAACUGCAUUAAUCCUGUGAAAACUUAACUCUGGUAAACAUUUUUAAAGGUUAUUCAGCCUCAUACAGACAUGAGUAAUUUAAGUCCAACUGAUGUUACAACGAAAAUGUGUCUAAGUGGUACUGCUUAGCCAUUGAAAUUACAAGUCAUCAAAAAGAUGAAUAGAGAACAG